UACGGGGGGGGCAAGCGUUGUUCGGAAUUACUGGGCGUAAAGCGCACGUAGGCGGCUAUUCAAGUCAGAGGUGAAAGCCCGGGGCUCAACCCCGGAACUGCCUUUGAAACUAGAUAGCUAGAAUCUUGGAGAGGCGAGUGGAAUUCCGAGUGUAGAGGUGAAAUUCGUAGAUAUUCGGAAGAACACCGGUGGCGAAGGCGGCCCACUGGCUCGAUACUGACGCUGAGGUGCGAAAGCGUGGGGAGCAAACAGG
rnacentral:rRNA from 1 species